rnacentral:rRNA from 1 species
UACGUAGGGUGCAAGCGUUGUCCGGAAUUAUUGGGCGUAAAGGGCGCGUAGGCGGGCUGUCAAGUCUGGGGUGAAAUGCCGCGGCUCAACCGUGGAACUGCCUUAGAUACUGACGGCCUCGAGGAAGGUAGGGGCAUGCGGAACUGUAGGUGGAGCGGUGAAAUGCGUUGAUAUCUACAGGAACUCCGGUGGCGAAAGCGGCGUGCUGGACCUUUUCUGACGCUGAGGCGCGAAAGCUAGGGGAGCAAACGGG